GACGAACGCUGGCGGCGCGCCUAACACAUGCAAGUCGAACGAGAGAGAGGGAGCUUGCUUCCUUGAUCGAGUGGCGAACGGGUGCGUAACGCGUGAGGAACCUGCCUCAAAGAGGGGGACAACAGUUGGAAACGACUGCUAAUACCGCAUAAGCCCACGGCUCGGCAUCGAGCAGAGGGAAAAGGAGCAAUCCGCUUUGAGAUGGCCUCGCGUCCGAUUAGCUAGUUGGUGAGGUAACGGCCCACCAAGGCGACGAUCGGUAGCCGGACUGAGAGGUUGAACGGCCACAUUGGGACUGAGACACGGCCCAGACUCCUACGGGAGGCAGCAGUGGGGAAUAUUGCACAAUGGGGGAAACCCUGAUGCAGCGACGCCGCGUGGAGGAAGAAGGUCUUCGGAUUGUAAACUCCUGUUGUUGAGGAA
rnacentral:rRNA from 1 species